UCCUACGGGAGGCAGCAGUAGGGAAUUUUCGGCAAUGGGCGCAAGCCUGACCGAGCAACGCCGCGUGAGUGAAGAAGGCCUUCGGGUUGUAAAGCUCUGUUGUAAGGGAGGAACACUUAAAAGAGGGAAUGCUUUUAAGCUGACGGUACCUUACCAGAAAGCCACGGCUAACUACGUGCCAGCAGCCGCGGUAAUACGUAG
rnacentral:rRNA from 1 species